GGAGGGAGGGAGGAAGGUGUUCAUCAAAGCCCCAUAGGACGGAUCGAAUCAUAUUUACAACGCCUUCCACAAUUUUCUUUUAACCUACUUCGGGUGCCAAGAAAAAGAGAAGAACGUAGAUCUUAGCAGAGGGUUCGCGUUUCGUUGGCUCGAGAAGUUGCUCGUUACAGCUAAAUGAAACGAUGGCUUGGCAUUGUUCAGUGGCUCGUUUCAGGGAGCGCAAGCUCGACGAGAAGAUUUAUGUCGGCGAAGAAAACUUGCGCCGAUAAAGUGUUCCCGUGCUCACGGCGAACGCUUAUCGUCUCGUUAUUCCGGAUUUCGCGGCGAAAGUUUCUAGGCAAGUGAAAGGGAACCGUUUUCAUUCAUAAAACGUAACGUUUCUUUCUUUCCCUCCCCACCGAUUGAGCGCAUCUGUUUUCAUCGAUUUUUAUCCAACGCUUAAUUU